CACGUCACUCACUGCCCAAUGACAAGAUGGCCGCCGAGAGGGUGGAUUUGGAUUUUGGGGACCGCGAGUUGUUUGAGGAGUUUGACGAUUCAAAACCUUCUCACAUCCGCUUUAAUGACUUGGAAGAUGCGAGCGAAGCAGAGGCAAUGAGGGAGAAGCUACUGGAAUUCGAGGAGAGAAUAGGUUACCUGAAGGCGGAGAAUGCGGAACUGAAGAGGAAGUUGAACUUAUUGACCCAGCCAAGUAAAAUAGUUGUGAGUGACUCCAAAACAGAUGGCCCAAUGAUUCAGAUCUUGUUUAUGAACAACAAUAUUUCAAAACAGUUUCAUCAAGAAAUUGAAGACUUCAUUGCAAGUUUAGUUGAAAGAUAUGAAAAAGAAAUGCAAAGUGACCCUGAAAAAACAUCCUUUAAUGUGAAACCUCAGCCAUCUAGUGUGCUGCUAGAGGAGCACCUGAAAGUGAAAACAUCAAAUGCAGUAAAGAAGAUCAAAGAAGCAUUUCAUGUUGUGGGAAGCGUUCAGUACUUCACCAACUUUUGCCUUGACAAACUCGGACAGCCAUUGCUAAAUGAGAAUCCACAGCUGACAAAUGGAUGGGAAAUACCCAAAUAUCAGCAAGUCUUUGCCCAAGUUGUAUCCUUAGAGGGUCAAGAAGUGGAAUUGAAAGCGAAGAGGCCAAAACCUUGUUGUUUCAACUGUGGUUCAACAGAACAUCAGUUAAAGGAUUGUCCAAAGCCACGUGAUCUUGCUCGUAUUAGUGAAAAGAGAAAAGAGUUCAUGACAAUGGCUAGUGAUUCACCUCAUUCAGGUUCUCAACAGCGGUAUCAUGCAGAGAGGUUUGAAAAGUUCAAGCCAGGUGUUCUCAGUGUAGAACUUAAAGAAGCUCUGGGGAUGACUGAUGAAACUCUGCCACCAUUUAUAUAUCGGAUGCGUCAAUUGGGUUAUCCACCAGGAUGGCUGCUGGAGACCCAACAAGAGAAUUCUGGGCUUGCUUUAUAUGAUGGCAAAGAUUCUAGUGACAGUGAAACAGAACAUGACAAACAACAUCUAAAAUCUCACCUUCCAUCCUAUGAUACAAGUAAACUCAUUGAUUAUGCAGGAUUCAAUGCUGUUAUUCCAAAAGGGAUUCAGGAUGAAUGGAGGCAAUAUGGUUCAAUUCCAAUGCAAGCUCAUCAUCUAAAGGAAUAUUUUGCACAUCAAUUGGCUGCUGAUUAUCCCAUGACUAAACACAGUGCAAACAAAAGGGGUUCAGAUGCUGACUCAAGCCUGAGAAGUGUAAAGAAGCGCAAGUCUGAAGAAAUAGAUAUAAAUUCUUUUGACAUGGAGAUAGAUUCAGGUUCAGACACGCCACCAAGGUCGUUUCAACCUUUACCGCCCUUGCCUUCCGAUUGCCCAUUAACAUUGUCAUCAUCACCGCCACCUCUGCCAAAAGGAACGCCACCUUCUACACCACCGAUGUUUAUCCCACCUGCACCACCUACUCCAACACCACCUCCACUUCCAAAAGAUACUCCCCCCUCUACGCCUUCAAAUUGUUCUCCAGUAGGAUAUUCUUUGGAAGAAGGAAGUGCUCGAGCUUCAGCUGCUGAGAAUGCUGAUAAAACUUUGGAUGCUGAUGUCUUGUCUUUAGAAGAGUUGGAAGAACAACAGCGGUUAAUAUGGGCUGAAUUGGAACAGACUGAAAGUGCUAAUAGUGAAACAGAAGGUCCUUGUGAUUCACCAUUAAUCAAGAAUUCUACAAAUUCCUCACCAGCGAUGCAUGCACCUGACAACCAUAUGGAAGUUGAAUCCAUUGACAAAAUGGGGACAGUUGAAAGUAAUAUGGGGAGUCCAAUUGCUGAAGCAUCUUCAGUUGAUUUCAGGGAUGAGCAGACCACUUCAUAUAGGGAAGAGAGUACUCCAUCUGAAAACUCCGGAAUGGAAAUAGAAGGCAGUAGAACCAUUCAAGAUUCUACCUCAACACCAGCAACAUCCGUUGAAGAAAACCAAGUGCGUUCAGAGAAAAUAGAAGGAUCCAUCACUAGUGAUGCUGUGUCAGAAGGAAGAGAGGAGAAUAGGAUUUCUUCUGUUCCUGAUAUGAGUAAAUUUGCCACUGGAAUUACACCUUUUGAAUAUGACAAUCUUUCUGAGGCAACUGGAACUUAUCUCAAACUCAGGAGUUUACUGAAGAAUUCUCCAAGAAACAAAAUGAAAAAGAAAUAACUAUGAAUAUCAAAGCAGUACUGAACCAUUCAGAUCCAAGGCUUCCACGUCAUAUGACCAUGUACUAUAUUGGAGUUUCUUUUUCUUUUAAGACCUCAUUUCAACAGUAUGUGGCAGAGCUGAUAUUUUACUGAAACAGUCAAAGUCAAAAAAUUUCCCCCCAAUGCUAUUUUAAUAUGUAGGGUUGAUAAUGAGUGAAAACAUGUCUGGUGUUACAGAAAGAAGAUUUUCUUGUGUGUUCUUUUUCAAAGAAGUACUGUUGAAAUCUGCCCUUCAGGCAUAGUCUCAGAAUUUUUCUGAUGUGGACUUGUGUACAGUAGGUUUUUAGUCAUUCUUACACAUUAGAUGUUUUUUGUUUAUAUAACUGAAUGUGUUUGUUUUUUGAUAAUACCAAUGUAAUUUUAUAAAAUAUACUGCCAGGGAUUUUAAUGUACAGUAUUUUAAAUUCUAAUUACAGAUCAUUGAAAAUGUCAGGGAUUACCAGGGCUGUUUUCAGACUCCAGAAGUUGGUUCCUCCUCUCUUUUACAGCAGAAAAGACUAACUAUUUGGUGAGCAUCUGAAUGCCGGACGAAAGGCACCAUCAUCAACAAGGGCGUAACAGAGGAAACCAGGAAGUGUCAAUCUGUUUCACUGCUUACCAUGGACUACAAAGUUUUAUCCAAGGACCUCGCCAAUCAGGUGAAGUCUGCUCUGGAUCAGACCUGCACUUUGCCCAGCAGAAGUCUGGUAGCUUUGUGCUUUUUAAAUUUAGUUUUCCAUGUGCUUGCUGGGAAGUGGCAUCAACUUUAGCAGAUUAGGCUAAGAGCAGGCCUUUGACAAGACAUCAUUGUAUUUUCAGUGUAGUAUUGGAAAGGAAUCUGCAUUUCGAUUCCAACUGUAAGAGUGCAGUUUCAAUCUAUGGGCAGGAAUUGGAAACCUUUUCAGUUAAAUCUGUGUUGAGCAGGCAGGUGGUGAUGGCUUAGUGGCAUUAUCAUUAGACUAAUCAUCUCGAGACCCAGGUAAUGACCUUGGUUUGAAUCCCAUCAUGGAAAAUGGUGGACUUUGAAUUAAAUAAAAAUCUGGAAUUAAAAGUCCGGUGGUGACCAUGAAACCAGUAUUGAUUUGACAUGAAAAGCCCAUCUGGUUCAUUUAAUGUCCUCCUCAGGACAGAACCUGCCAUCCUUGCCUGGACUGGCCUACAUCUGACUCCAGACCACAGCAAUAUGGUUGACUCUCUAAUUGCCCAUUCCUAACAGAUUUAUGUUAGCCUAGGUGUGAUGCCCACAUCCUGUGAAUGAAUAAUAAAUGUAUACUUUGGGUAUGCUAUCCUCUCUCUCCCUGCCUAUUGUUUUGUCUUGAACUUUUUUUGCCCAGUCCAUCAGAAAAAAAUGCAACUGAAGAGGGCUGAAGGAACAACUUGAACAAAGCUCUCCUGCAAGCAUUAUAAAGUCUACAAAUCUAUAACCAGUCCAAACUGGCCUUGGCUCAAAAUGAAUUACACCAAGAGUGAAGUCAUGUCCUUUAGGAACUGAGUUAGCAAAUGUCCCUUUCAUCUUCAGGUCAGAGUACCUAAAAGUGCUGAGGUAUGGUUUGGAGGGGCCAGGAUGUGCACUUAACACUGGAAGGAGCAUGUUAUUAUGGCCACUGUGGAAUUGACACACACUGUCCACAGUGCAUAUGAAUCUGGUAGUCAGGUGCAUGGUGCUCUCCAUUAUUCUACAUAGUGCAGGUCUAGCCCUUGCAUCACUUGAACCCUUAAACAGAUACCAAGACACAGCUUGGCUGGUAAUAAAGGCUCUCUCUUUCACGUUUAUUGAUCAUCUUUCCUAAGAAAGGAUGCAGAUGUAUUAGAGGUAGUUCAGAGAAGGUUUACUAGACUAAUACUUUAAAUAGAUGCUUGUCUUCUGAGGAAAGUUUGGACAGACUAGACUUGUGGAGCUGUUGGAGUUUAGAAGAGUAAAUGACUUAAUGGAAACAGAAGAUCCUGAAAUUUUGAUGGGCUGGAUGUGGGAAGGAUGUUUCUUUUGGGAGAAUCCAGAACUAGGAAUCAUUCUUUUUUUCAGAAAAGCAGGGGCUGCCAAAUGGAAAUAUAUCAAGCAUUUUUUUGUUCCCUGGGUUUGAGUUUUUAGAACCUACUUCCUGAAAAGUUAGUAGAAGCAAAUUCCUUCAGUAUUUCUAAGACAUUCUGGUUUCUAUAGCAUUCUGAAUAACCUUGUUAAACAAUUUAGUGGAAGCAGAGACCUUAAAAAUAUUCAAGGCAGUAAGGAAGUGACUGCUGCCUACCUCCUUUGGGAAUCUACCCCUUCAGAACAAGUCUAGAAAUGUAUGCUUUUUUUUUUCUCUUUUUGCCAAAGUUCAUCUGGAGCAAUUGUAAAAGUGCUAUUCCCAGAUCUGCAUAUCUGAUCUAAGUAUCAGCUGCUGUCGGAUGACCAUCCAAGUUAGUGCAGUGUGUUCUGUGGUUAGCUCAAAAGUCAGUAAUCUUCUAGUUCAAAGAGCUUUUCAAUAAUAGUGUUAUAAGUACAUAUAUUCCAAGGCUUUGGCAUAAACUUGGCAAAACUAUGGCAAAGACACAGUGCAAUUGCCUUGAUGAAGGCCCUUGAGCCAUAGCAUGACUUCUUCAGAAGUCUAGGCCCGAAACGUCAGCCAUCCUGCUCCUCUGAUGCUGCUUGGCCUGCUGUGUUCAUCCAGCUCUACACCUUGUUAUCUCAGAUUCUCCAACAUCUACAGUUCCUACUAUCUCAUAAAUAUAAAUGUUUGUUUACGUAACAGGCUAUACAUAGUGUAGUGAGACACCUUGUACUGUGAAAACAAUGAUCUUGCACUUAAAGUAAUAUUAAAUUUGAAUGAUUAAUGCAAGUACUUAUACAAUUUUUAUGAAUAAAGUAUACUUUUUUUCAAAAGUGUUUUUGGAUGAAGAUACCCUGAGGAAUGAAGAAUGCUGCAUUAAUGACAAAAAACUGCCUGCCCUUGGAAUACAUUGCACCCCAUUUUGCAAUAUCACGCUAAGUCCACCAUCCUCUCAAUUAAAUCAUGCAUGAAUCAUUAGUAAUCAGUUUAAAUAAUUGAGGUCCACAGGCAGCCAAACCCUAUGUUCUAUCUUUCAUACAUAAAUUUGAUUUUCAACUUUGUGUAAAUGAUUAACUGUCAAACAAAAUAUUUUAAGAAUGGGUAGUGUUAUAAAUUUCGUGAUUUGUAGUUCUGCCACUUACAAAAAGAAAAUCAGAAAACACGACAGUGAGAUGAUUAAAGCUGUCAAAAGAUUGUAGAUAAGUGCCAUCUUGGUGUACUUGAAAAUCUGAUCACAACAUUAGAACUAUUGAACAAGCGUGGGCGGUGAAUUCUCCAUUUGAGUCUGGGCUGCUUUUUUUUUGUUCAUACUGGGUUUGAUAGUAGCAUGUAAAUAGUGGAGAUUUGGGUCAAUUAUUGUUAUACUAUGGCGAGGACAAUCCAAGGCCAUGCCUGGUAAUGUUAAAUUGUCACGGUAGUGAAUUAUCGUUUACAUGGUCAUAAUCAUUUAAAUCAUUAAUAAUUUGUAACAUAUUCAGUGUUCUCCAUCUAAGGAUAAAACGUAUACACUGGUUUAUAAAAUAUUCAUUUAUUAGAACUUCGCUCCUGGGUUUCUGUUUCUGAUUUUCCAAUAGUGUCGCAGGAUUGUUACGUUGAUGCACGAGAAAAUUAUAAUAAUAUUCGAUUUUACGCACAGUAAAGUCAAACAUUUGUGUUUCUUUCUAAACGACAAUAAAAAGUAAGAUUUAAUCCAUGUUGUGAUGUGUAUAAUAGGUAAAAAUGAGACUUAUGGUAUUUGAAAUUGUGGUAUAUUUACAGUUAUCAGUUACAGCUCCUACGCAGAAAUAAAAAGCUCGAA